CAAAUUAUUGUUGAAACACCAGUUCCCGUAUGAUUACUGAAGUUAAGCAACGUUGAGCCUGGUCAGUACCUAGAUAGGUGACCGCCUGGGAAUACCAGGUGUUGUAA